rnacentral:tRNA from 1 species
AUAAGGGUGAGGUCGGCAGUUCAAAUCUGCCCAGACCUACCAUUACAUGGUUCAGCCGUAGAAUACGGGGCCAUAGCUCAGCUGGGAGAGCGCCUGCCUUGCACGCAGGAGGUCAGCGGUUCGAUCCCGCUUGGCUCCACCACUUGCUUUACCUUGAUCAAACUCAGAAAUGAGCAUUCGCGUCGAAUGUUGAUUUCUGACUUUUGUCAGAUCGUUCUUUAAAAAUUCGGAUAUGUGAUAGAUAUAGACUGAACACCAGUUUCACUGCUGGUGGAUCAGGCUAAGGUAAAGUUUGUGAGUUCUGCUCGAAAGAGCAACGUACGAAUUUUCGGCGAAUGUCGUCUUCACAGUAUAACCAGAUUGCUUGGGGUUAUAUGGUCAAGUGAAGAAGCGCAUACGGUGGAUGCCUUGGCAGUCAAAGGCGAUGAAAGACGAG